rnacentral:rRNA from 1 species
UGAAUACGAGAUGCUACGGCGUCGAAGCAGUCUAUGUCAUACUUCCAAGAAAAGCUUGCACUGUCAUAAACAAAUAAUGCCUGUACCAUAACCGACACAGGUGGGUAGGUAGAGUAUACUAAGGGGCGCGAGAUAACUCUCUCUAAGGAACUCGGCAAAAUGACUCCGUAACUUCGGGAGAUGGAGUGCCUUAUUUAUAAGGUUGCAAUAACAAGAUCCAAGCAACUGUUUACCAAAAACACAGGUCUCCGCUAAGUCGUAAGACGAUGUAUGGGGGCCGACGCCUGCCCAGUGCCAGAAGGUUAAAGAAGUUGGGUAGCAUCCGCGAAGCUGAUAACUGAAGCCCUGGUGAACGGCGGCCGUAACGAUAACGGUCCUAAGGUAGCGAAAUUCCUUGUCGGGUAAGUUCCGACCCGCACGAAAGGCGUAAUGAUUUGGAUACUGUCUCGGAGAGGGGCUCGGUGAAAUAGACUUGUCUGUGAAGAUGCGGACUACCUGCACCAGGACGGAAAGACCCUAUGAAGCUUUACUGUAACCUGAAAUUGAAAUUGGACUUUACUUGCGCAGUAUAGGUGGGAGGCGUUGAGAAUAUUCUUGCGGGAUUAUUGGAGCCAUCAGUGAGAUACCACUCUUGUAAUGUUAGAUUUCUAACUUUGUAUCAUUAUCUGGUCAAAGAACAGUUUCAGGCGGGCAGUUUGACUGGGGCGGUCGCCUCCUAAACGGUAACGGAGGCGCACAAAGGUUUCCUCUGAACGGGUAGAAAUCGUAUCUAGAGUGUAAAGGCAUAAGGAAGCUUGACUGUGAGACCUACAAGUCGAGCAGGGACGAAAGUCGGUCUUAGUGAUCUGACGGUGCUGAGUGGAAAGGCCGUCACUCAACGGAUAAAAGUUACUCUAGGAUAACAGGCUGAUCUCCCCCAAGAGUUCACAUCGACGGGGAGGUUUGGCACCUCGAUGUCGGCUCAUCGCAUCCUGGGGCGGUAGUACGUCCCAAGGGUUGGGCUGUUCGCCCAUGAAAGCGGUACGCGAGCUGGGUUCAGAACGUCGUGAGACAGUUCGGUCCAUAUCCGGUGUAGGCGUUAGAAUAUUGAGAGGAGCCUUCUUUAGUACGAGAGGACCGAGAAGGACAUACCUCUGGUGUACCAGUUAUCGUGCCAACGGUAAACGCUGGGUAGCUAUGUGUGGAGUGGAUAACCGCUGAAAGCAUCUAAGUGGGAAGCCCACCUCAAGAUGAG